GUCUCCCGGAUGGGCGUCAUGGCGGCGAGGAAACUCUUCUCGAGACUUGGCCUACUCUUCCUCUCCCUCCUCCUCCACCUCCACCUCGUCACGUGCACACACGCUGCGACUCCCCCUCUGAAUGUCCGCGUGGAGUCUCGCGACCUGCUGACGCAACUCCGCUGGGACCACGACGCUCAAGUGGACGUCGCCACCAGCAGCAGCUCAAAGCUCCUGGACGUUACCUACAGGGUGGACAGCAAACUCUAUGGACGAGCCCGCUGGCGGACCGUCUGCGCUGCCACCGCAGAGACACGCCGUGCUGAGUGCUCCGACUGUCACCUUGAUGCUCCACAAGGAUGCGACGCUGGAGGAGGGUGGUGAGG